ACACCCAAAAAAAUUUUUUUUUCAUUUUACAUUUUUUUUGGUGUAACCAACUCCAAAAGGUCUGAAUCUUGUUCCUUAAAGGUUUUGGACAGUGAUUUUAACCCUAACGCCAAAAACCUUAAACCUUACACUAGCCCCAUAACCUAAUACCUUCAGGAAGCCCGAAAACCCAAAAUAUUUUUUUUUCUUUUUUCUUUUUUUUUGGUCGAACUAACUCCAAAAGGUCUGAAACAUGUUCCUUAAAAAAUAUUGGACAGUGAUUUUAACCCUAACACCAAAAACCUUAAACCUAAUCCUAGCCCCAAAACCUAAUACCCGGGUAUUACCUUCAGGAAGCCCGAACACCCCAAAUAUUUUUUUUUUUCAUUUUACAUUUUUUUAUUGGUCUAACUAACUCCAAAAGGUUGGAAAAGACUUCCUACAAAGGUUUUGGACAGUGAUUUUAACCCUCACGCCAAAAACCUUAAACCUUACCCUAGCCCCAUAACCUAAUACCCGGGUAUUACCUUCAGGAAGCCCGAACACCCCAAAUAUUUUUUUUUCAUUUUUCGUUUUUUUUUUUUGUCUAACUAACUCCAAAAGGUUUGAAAAGAGUUCCUACAAAGGUUUUGGACAGUGAUUUUAACCCUAACGCCAAAAACCUUAAACCUUACCUAGCCCCAUAACCUAAU